AUUUCUUUUGUCGUGUCCACGUGCCACGACAAGACUUACAGCACCACGUGCAUGGAAGCGACAAAUGUGCCAGCAAAUAAGUUGUACUCUCAAUAAUAGCUCUUGUCGCAUGAACCUCAGCUCCCACUUGUCAUGCCACACCCUUUGGCAUGACACGGCUGUUGUCGCUUCUUUCCGUUAGCAUUUUCUUCCCUUUAAAUAAAUUAGUAGUUAUUAGAAUCUACAUUCCACAAAACUCGACACACGUGUUUAACAUAGUAUUGACAUUACAUUUUAGUGAUUUGAGCAAUGCCAAGUGCUAUAUAUGUUAUUUCUAGAGUAGCCUAUAUGUUAUUUCUAAAAAAAGGCCGUUUGGCUUUAGAAAAUUUAGAAACUUUUUGCAUUUUCAAACCACUAAAUAAAAAUAGAAUAAUUACUCAACCAUAAUAAAAAAAACUAAUAGAGAUAAAGAAUAAGAAAUAUACAUCUAUUUUGCUAACCUAUACAAUUCCAACUUUGCAUACAAUUUCUUUUCGAAAUUCUAUUGGGGACAUUUGUUGAAAAGUUAUUUGGAGAAUUAUGGAUAAAAUGUUUUAUUGAAAACAUUAUAAAAAUAUUUAGUGAAAGGUGUCUAAUUCCUCAUAAAGGGGGUUGAUCGAGUUCCAAGCCGAAAGAACAACCGAAGUGCAAACAUGGACUCUUGGAGUACCUUAUUUUUUUAGCUUUUUGGAACAAUAUUAUCAAAAUCAUCUAUUUUAUCAAUUUAAUUUCUGUAGGCUCCUCCAGUUCUUUCAAAAAAAAAAAACUCAACUUAAUAAUAAAAAAACUAUCAGAUAUGAAGAGUAAGAAAUAUACAUCUAUUUUGCUAAACAUAUACAAUACCAACUCAAUUCUCAAUUUGUUUGUUUGGGAAAUCAGUAUGGGACAUUCAGAUAUGGUAGCUGGUUAAACAGUCCGGCGGCGCGUACGUGCACCACACCGCACAGCACACUGUUUUGCCUCGAAACAAAGGGCCACGUACGGCCGGCGGCAUGACGCACAGCAAAAACCGUUGCGCCUCAAGUGACGACGGCCCACAGAUUUUUUUUGUCCAAAGGCGUGACGCGCGUCAGCACCCACGCGUCUUGUCGUCCACACUCGGGUCACACGCACACGGCCCACAGAUUUCCGCUAGCCAGGCUCGCCGCAUGCAUGCAGCCAGCUACCGUGCAUCACACCGUGGUGUGUGGGCACGCGCAUGCGUGCGUGCGUGCGGCUGCUCGAUCGAUCGAUCGAUCGAUCGGUAUGGGUCGUCCUCAUCAUUUUCCUCGAUUCUCACAUGCGUCU
rnacentral:lncRNA from 1 species